UGCACAUGUUGGUUUGUAUAUGGCCGUGGGUUUGCCUGUGAAGAGGCAGAAAUGUUUUCACUGUGGCCAUGAACCUCCGUGUUUGUAGGUGGACUUCACUAUCUUCGAGAGUUCAAGUGCGGGUCGAACAAUCGAUUCCUCCUCCUUUUCUUUUUUAAGUUUCCUGUCGUUCUUUUGCCCAGAUCAGCAUUGAAGGAAAAUAGGAAGGGCAGUGUUGUAUUCUGGAGUAGCCAUCAGCUCUUCUGGAGGUAAAGUUCUUUUUGCUACGAGGUUUUGUCUUUGGUGGGGGCCUGAGGUUGAUUUUCCUGCUGUACAAAUACCAGGCUAAUAAAGGAAGCUUGAGCCCAGUAAUUCACGGCAAGCCAGUUUGACGGAGCCCUUUUAGUGUGACGGGUGCUUUUCAGAGCUAAUGUCUUGCUGAUAUUAACAGCCGUGCACACAGAGUGAAAUCUGCAAUGUAAAAACCAACGGCUUGCUAAAAAUUUCCAAGAUCGCACAUCUCGCUGUCCCAUUCAUUUCCUUGACCUUUUGCAGGGGGCGGAGGAAGAGAAGGAGGUGCUGGAGCAUGGCACUUUCCAAGACAUGAACACGCUGCAGCCAAACUGGCUCCCCCAGCCUUGGAUGCCGAGACCUUGAGCUGAGGACCUGCUCCCUCUGCACCUGCAGUUCAUAAAAAUAAAUAAAGAGAAACCAACUCUGGCAAUGGGCAGGCUUGCCCCAGCACUGCCUGUACAGGGACUGGCAAGCAGCUCCCAAAAGGAGCCUGCUCUGCCAUGAACAUGCAGAUCACUGGGGGAUCUUACUUUGGAUCAACACAAUGGCCAGUUUGAUCACCAUAUCCCAACAGAUUCCAUGCACAGCGGUUUCUCUGGAAGGGUAGUGUGGCCUAGCAGUAAAAGCAAAGAAUAAAUCAAGAAGCUCCCUGGAUUAUAUUCCUGGCUCUGCCACUGACUCGCUGUGUGACCUUGGACAAAUCCUUUCUCCCCGUACCUAAGUUUCCUGCAACUGUAAAAAAAAAAAGUGUAACAAACCCUCCCACACAAGGUGGGGAGAGGGCGUUUGUGGCUUGCUUAGUGCUUAGAAAGCACUUUGAGAUCUUCAGCUAGAAAGCACUACACAAGAGCCAUGUAUUGUAAUUAAACCUUAUAUAACCAGGCUCUGCAGAAGCAGGGUGUGUAGGCAGCAGUGGCUCCUGUACCUGCAGCGUGAUGUAAUGUGGCUGCUGCUGGAUUCUGGUGCUCUACAAAGCACAGGGGUGCUGGUGGGGCCGGGGGAGAAGGAUAUAGCUCAGAUGUGGCAAGAUGACAAUUUGGUCUAAUAACUGCGCUGAGCUGGCUGAGUCUGGGGAACGACAAAUCCUUCCUUUGUGCUUGUCUCAUUAUUCAGCCCUUAAAUGGUUAAACACCCUCUGUGUUCACUUAAACUGUCACUUUGCAGAGCUGCCAAAAUAUUUUGAUGGCUUGUACCAGAUCUCCUUGGCAGACUGUUCUUUCAGAUGAAUGAGAGACUUUGGACUGCCGAGCAAUGAAUAAUGCAUAACCAAGGCGCCCCCUACUGGCCACCGGGGUCCUUAGACGAGUUACAAACCUCCGCAAAGUUGCAAAUAGAAAACACUUUAGCUACUGCUGAACGAGAGUCCCCAAAGGACGUUGCUCCCUAUAUAUCCAUAUCCUACUGCCUCUAUUCCAGAUGGAACUGGGGAUAGAUCUCCCGCACCUGACGGCAGAUCUGCCUAGGUGACAGAGAGUCAGUCACAGUUAAAGGUAAAUUUUUAUCGGUAAAUGUUGGUAAACAUCGAUUUCACCAUACACCCUCAAACUAAGAAAAGAUAUUUCCAUUCAUAGCAAUCACAAUGUACAGAGAGGCAAAGAAAGAAAAUGCUACUUGAGAACUUAUUAGAGUUUGAUUUAAGGAUACUGACUUUGUAUAUUUUGA